UGGGGAUAUUGGACAAUGGGGGCGAACCCGAUCCAGCAAAGCCGCGUGUGUGAAGAAGGCCUUCGGUUGUAAGACACUUUAUCGGAACGCGGUACCGGAGGAAUAAGCACCGCUAACUUCGUGCCAGCAGCCGCGGUAAUACGAAGGGUGCAAGCGUUAAUCGGAAUUACUGGGCGUAAAGGGUGCGUAGGCGGUUACUUGAGUCUGUUGUGAAAGCCCUGGGCUUAACCUGGGAAUAGCAAUGGAUACUGGGUGCUGGAGUCGUAGAGGAUGGCGGAAUUCCCGGUGUAGCAGUGAAAUGCGUAGAGAUCGGGAGGAACAUCAGUGGCGAGGCGGCCAUCUGGGCCGUACUGACGCUGAGGCACGAAAGCGUGGGGAGC
rnacentral:rRNA from 1 species